rnacentral:rRNA from 1 species
AGGUAGCUUGCUACCGGACCUAGCGGCGGACGGGUGAGUAAUGCUUAGGAAUCUGCCUAUUAGUGGGGGACAACAUCUCGAAAGGGAUGCUAAUACCGCAUACGUCCUACGGGAGAAAGCAGGGGAUCUUCGGACCUUGCGCUAAUAGAUGAGCCUAAGUCGGAUUAGCUAGUUGGUGGGGUAAAGGCCUACCAAGGCGACGAUCUGUAGCGGGUCUGAGAGGAUGAUCCGCCACACUGGGACUGAGACACGGCCCAGACUCCUACGGGAGGCAGCAGUGGGGAAUAUUGGACAAUGGGGGGAACCCUGAUCCAGCCAUGCCGCGUGUGUGAAGAAGGCCUUAUGGUUGUAAAGCACUUUAAGCGAGGAGGAGGCUACUCUAGUUAAUACCUGGGGAUAGUGGACGUUACUCGCAGAAUAAGCACCGGCUAACUCUGUGCCAGCAGCCGCGGUAAUACAGAGGGUGCGAGCGUUAAUCGGAUUUACUGGGCGUAAAGCGUGCGUAGGCGGCUUAUUAAGUCGGAUGUGAAAUCCCCGAGCUUAACUUGGGAAUUGCAUUCGAUACUGGUGAGCUAGAGUAUGGGAGAGGAUGGUAGAAUUCCAG